GAACUGCUGAGGAGUCCCAUACCAGGACGAAACAGCUGUCCAGUGC
rfam:Schistosoma margrebowiei strain Zambia genome assembly, scaffold: SMRZ_scaffold0002745